rnacentral:rRNA from 1 species
CAUAUCAAUAAGCGGAGGAAAAGAAACCAACAGGGAUUGCCCUAGUAACGGCGAGUGAAGCGGCAACAGCUCAAAUUUGAAAGCUAGCCUUCGGGUUCGCAUUGUAAUUUGUAGAGGAUGAUUUGGGGAAGCCGCCUGUCUAAGUUCCUUGGAACAGGACGUCAUAGAGGGUGAGAAUCCCGUAUGUGACAGGAAAUGGCACCCUAUGUAAAUCUCCUUCGACGAGUCGAGUUGUUUGGGAAUGCAGCUCUAAAUGGGAGGUAAAUUUCUUCUAAAGCUAAAUAUUGGCGAGAGACCGAUAGCGCACAAGUAGAGUGAUCGAAAGAUGAAAAGCACUUUGGAAAGAGAGUUAAAAAGCACGUGAAAUUGUUGAAAGGGAAGCGCUUGCAAUCAGACUUGUUUAAACUGUUCGGCCGGUCUUCUGACCGGUUUACUCAGUUUGGACAGGCCAGCAUCAGUUUCGGCGGCCGGAUAAAGGCUCUGGGAAUGUGGCCUCCACUUCGGUGGAGGUGUUAUAGCCCAGGGUGUAAUACGGCCAGCCGGGACUGAGGUCCGCGCUUCGGCUAGGAUGCUGGCGUAAUGGUUGUAAGCGACCCGUCUUGAAACACGGACCAAGGAGUCUAACAUCUAUGCGAGUGUUCGGGUGUCAAACCCCUGCGCGUAAUGAAAGUGAACGGAGGUGGGAACCCGCAAGGGUGCACCAUCGACCGAUCCUGAUGUCUUCGGAUGGAUUUGAGUAAGAGCAUAGCUGUUGGGACCCGAAAGAUGGUGAACUAUGCCUGAAUAGGGUGAAGCCAGAGGAAACUCUGGUGGAGGCUCGCAGCGGUUCUGACGUGCAAAUCGAUCGUCAAAUUUGGGUAUAGGGGCGAAAGACUAAUCGAACCAUCUAGUAGCUGGUUCCUGCCGA